rnacentral:rRNA from 1 species
UACGGAGGGUGCGAGCGUUGUCCGGAAUCACUGGGCGUAAAGGGCGCGUAGGCGGCCUGAUAAGUAGGGGGUGAAAUCCUGCGGCUUAACCGCAGGGCUGCCUUCUAGACUGUCAGGCUAGAGCACAGUAGAGGCAGGUGGAAUUCCCGGUGUAGCGGUGGAAUGCGUAGAGAUCGGGAAGAACAUCAGUGGCGAAGGCGGCCAUCUGGGACAACACUGACGCUGAGGCACGAAAGCGUGGGGAGCAAACAGG